UGGCUGUCGUCAGCUCGUGUCGUGAGAUGUUGGGUUAAGUCCCGUAACGAGCGCAACCCUUGUCCUUAGUUACCAGCACGUUAUGUGGGCACUCUAAGGAGACUGCCGGUGACAAACCGGAGGAAGGUGGGGAUGACGUCAAGUCAUCAUGGCCCUUACGGCCUGGGCUACACACGUGCUACAAUGGUCGGUACAAAGGGUUGCCAAGCCGCGAGGUGGAGCUAAUCCCAUAAAACCGAUCGUAGUCCGGAUCGCAGUCUGCAACUCGACUGCGUGAAGUCGGAAUCGCUAGUAAUCGUGAAUCAGAAUGUCACGGUGAAUACGUUCCCGGGCCUU
rnacentral:rRNA from 1 species